rnacentral:rRNA from 1 species
UACGUAGGGCGCAAGCGUUGUCCGGAAUUAUUGGGCGUAAAGAGCUCGUAGGCGGUCUGUUACGUCCGCUGUGAAAACCCAGGGCUUAACCCUGGGCUUGCAGUGGAUACGGGUAGACUAGAGGCAGGUAGGGGAGAAUGGAAUUCCCAGUGUAGCGGUGAAAUGCGCAGAUAUCGGGAGGAACACCGGUGGCGAAGGCGGUUCUCUGGGCCUGACCUGACGCUGAGGAGCGAAAGCGUGGGGAGCGAACAGG